GUGCCAGCAGCCGCGGUAAUACCGGCAGCCCAAGUGAUGGCCGCUGUUAUUGGGCCUAAAGCGUCUGUAGCUGGCCGCACGAGUCCGUCGGGAAAUCCGCCCGCUCAACGGGCGGCCGUCCGGCGGAACCUGUGUGGCUUGGGACCGGGAGGCCUGAGGGGUACGAGCGGGGUAGGAGUGAAAUCCUGUAAUCCCGCUCGAACCGCCGAUGGGGAAACCACCUCAGGAGAACGGAUCCGACAGUGAGGGACGAAAGCUCGGGUCUCAAACCGGAUUAGAAACCCUAGUAGUCC
rnacentral:rRNA from 1 species